UCCCAAGGCUGGAUGCCCUUGCAGCCAGGAUGGGGAAACCCCAUUCAUGGAGAACACUCCUGUGCCAGGGGUGUUUGUGGGCAUUCAUGUGGGUUUUGCUGCCCUCAUCAUCUGUCUUCUUUGCCUCCUCCUGGGCUGGCGCCAUAGUUUCCUCUGCAGGAAAGGAUCUGGGGAGCACUGGACAGUACCCCCAGGUUCUGCUGACAGGGCCUCGCUAGGCCAGCUGGAGAGUGGAGGAAAACCUGGAGAGAGGAUUGAACUCAUUUCCCAGGUCACUGUGGAGCAACAGUCUGCAGCCUAGGGGCCUUCCUCCCUGCCCACCCUGAAAAACUCCAGCACCACCAAAGAAUCUACCUCACCCUACCCUACUUCCAGAGUCAGGACAGAACCAAAGCUACCUCAGCACCUGGGGAGGGAAAGGGGAGAAAAUUUUCUUACUGUUGUUUUUUCAUUUAUAAUCCUCCCUGCCAGUGAUGGGAAUUCCGGGGGCCAGGUUAUGUCUCCCACCACACCAAAUACUCUCAGGUGAGAGGACCCCCCAGGAACUCCUGUCCAGGUCCCUCUUCCCCAAUCCAGAAUCUAUCUCAAUCCAAAUAUGACUCUGCCCAAAGAUGUAUAGCUUUAACGGGUCUCCCCAAAUGGGGGAAAUGGAGCCAGGGGCUCCGUUAUCACAUUCCUCUCUAUUCUACAGUCAGACCCUCUUCCCUCUUAUUCAACCUCUUUUCCUCCUUUUAUUCUACUCCCCUCCUUUUCCUCUAAGUUCAGAUGAGUCAGUUUUCUGACCUGGACACAAAGGCAUCUGCAUCUCUUCUCAGAUCUCAGAAGCUCAAAUGCUUCAGUCAGUGUGUUCUAAGGUACUUAAUCUCAACUGCCUACCUCUGACUUCCUCCAGAGCCCAGUCAUCGUGUGUGUGCACACAUGCUCUUGUAUGUUCAGGCACACCUUCUCUGAGCAACCAAAAACACUCUAAACCCUCAAUAGAGGUUUGGAGUUUGGAGGGGUAAAGGUAUUAUCCUGCCCCACAAUCCAAAGCAGUGGCCUUCUCUGAAGGCCUUUAUUUUCCUUCUCUCUCAUUUGAUUUCUAUUUCUGAAAGCAGAGAAUUUAGUUUGAGUCAGGUUUGUUUUUUGCAGGCAUAAACCCCCAGUAGAAUAAGCACAGGGACUGUGGGCACUCCUCCUAGGAUAAAAAAUCAUUUUCCCCCUCCUGCCCCAUCAGUGUCAAUCUUUGAGGCACGAAGGAGACUUUGCAGCCCUUCCCGUUCCCCAAACAUCCUUGUGACCCCAAAGCCAAAGCCUCCACA
rnacentral:lncRNA from 1 species